GUCUGAAAGAAGAGCAUGUUGUACUGAUUCUAAAGAAAGAAAAAUACCAUUUGCAUCAUGUUUUGUCCUUCAGCGAUAAAAAGAAAUUUUCAGCAUAGCAAAAGAACAGAUCAAAUGUUAUUCCAGAUUUACAGGAGAAAAGAAAUCACAAGUUACAGAGUUGGAGACCCUACAGAAAACAAAGCAAAGGAGAGGUUUUGUUAAAAAGAUGUCCUGGCAAGAUCUCCUCCUCCUCUGUCCCAGAUCAUCUAGCUGCAGUUACCAGGCACCAUUGUUUCCUUCUUCAUACGUGUUGAGAGCCAGACUGGAAGUAAUCCAAGCAGCUUCAGUUUUGCCUGAAGUAGCAAAAGAGCGAGGCAACUUUGCCGUUAUUUUGCCCCUUCAGCGCGGUGCUCAUUACUUCUUCUUCGUGUACUGGGAACAGUGUUUCAAUAAGAGCUCACUGCCUGCACAAAAGGUCCCCUGGGUUACACGCAGGUUCAGAACGACCCAGCUUUGGCAUUUUACGUGGAUACUCAGCGCCUGACAAUGCUGUGGGUGGCUCGUUAUUCUCAGCGGACGCAUUAAGGAAACAAAACACCAUAUGAAGCCUGACUGCGGUCAGGACUGCUUUCAGGGAAUGCGUUUAGGCACUUGUUCCUGCCAGAGCAAAACUGCACGAAGGCUGCGCUCCCUUGGACUCGCUUUUCUUCAGCCAUCUCUAAUCCUUCACCUUGGGAAUGCAUGACAGAGUUGAUUAAUAAAUCGAAAAUAAGAAUAAAAAAUGAAUACUGA
rnacentral:lncRNA from 1 species